rnacentral:rRNA from 1 species
AUUGAACGCUGGCGGCAGGCCUAACACAUGCAAGUCGAACGAGUGGCGGACGGGUGAGUAAUGUAUGGGAAACUUCCUGAUGGAGGGGGCUAACUACUGGAAACGGUAGCUAAUAAAGUAUACCAUCGGGUGUGCCCAGAUGGGAUUAGCUUGUAGUUGGGGUAAAGGCUCACCUAGGCGACGAGCCCUAGCUGGUCUGAGAGGAUGAACAGCCACACUGGAACUGAGACACGGUCCAGACUCCUACGGGAGGCAGCAGUAGGGAAUAUUGCACAAUGGGCGCAAGCCUGAUCCAGCCAUGCCGCGUGUAUGAAGAAGGCCUUCGGGUUGUAAAGUACUUUCAGCGGGGAGGCGUUACCCGCAGAAGAAGCACCGGCUAACUCCGUGCCAGCAGCCGCGGUAAUAC